AACUUUCGGCAACGGAUCUCUUGGUUCUGGCAUCGAUGAAGAACGCAGCGAAAUGCGAUAAGUAAUGUGAAUUGCAGAAUUCAGUGAAUUAUCGAAUCUUUGAACGCACAUUGCGCCUGCCAGUAUUCUGGCGGGCAUGCCUGUUCUAGCGUCAUUUCAACCAUCAAGCCCCCGGCUUGUGUUGGGGACCGGCGGCUGCCGCAGGCCCUGAAAACCAGUGGCGGGCUCGCUGUCACCCCGAGCGUAGUAGUUACGUCUCGCUCUGGGAGUGCUGCGGUUUCCGGCCGUUAAAGGCCUUAUUUGCCCAAGGUUGACCUCGGAUCAGGUAGGAAGUCCCGCUGAACUUAAGCAUAUCAAUAAGCGGAGGCU
rnacentral:misc_RNA from 1 species